GACGAACGCUGGCGGCGUGCUUAACACAUGCAAGUCGAACGGAAAGGCCCUGCUUUUGUGGGGUGCUCGAGUGGCGAACGGGUGAGUAACACGUGAGUAACCUGCCCUUGACUUUGGGAUAACUUCAGGAAACUGGGGCUAAUACCGGAUAGGAGCUCCUGCUGCAUGGGGGGGGUUGGAAAGUUUCGGCGGUUGGGGAUGGACUCGCGGCUUAUCAGCUUGUUGGUGGGGUAGUGGCUUACCAAGGCUUUGACGGGUAGCCGGCCUGAGAGGGUGACCGGCCACAUUGGGACUGAGAGACGGCCCAGACUCCUACGGGAGGCAGCAGUGGGGAAUAUUGCACAAUGGGCGGAAGCCUGAUGCAGCAACGCCGCGUGCGGGAUGACGGCCUUCGGGUUGUAAACCGCUUUCGCCUGUGACGAAGCGUUAGUGACGGUAAUGGGUAAAGAAGCACCGGCUAACUACGUG
rnacentral:rRNA from 1 species